UACGAAGGGGGCUAGCGUUGCUCGGAAUCACUGGGCGUAAAGCGCACGUAGGCGGCUUUCUAAGUCAGGGGUGAAAUCCUGGAGCUCAACUCCAGAACUGCCUUUGAUACUGGAGAGCUUGAGUCCGGGAGAGGUGAGUGGAACUCCGAGUGUAGAGGUGAAAUUCGUAGAUAUUCGGAAGAACACCAGUGGCGAAGGCGGCUCACUGGACUGGUAUUGACGCUGAGGUGCGAAAGCGUGGGGAGCAAACAGG
rnacentral:rRNA from 1 species